GCCUUCGUGGUGUAGUAGGGAGCGCACUCGGUUCGUGUUCGAGAGGUCUGUGGUUCGAGUCUCGGCGAAGGCA
rnacentral:tRNA from 1 species